rnacentral:rRNA from 1 species
UACGGGGGGGGUAAGCGUUGUUCGGAAUUACUGGGCGUAAAGGGCUCGUAGGCGGUCUGUCACGUCGGGAGUGAAAACUCAGGGCUUAACCCUGAGCCUGCUUCCGAUACGGGCAGACUAGAGGUAUGCAGGGGAGAACGGAAUUCCUGGUGUAGCGGUGAAAUGCGCAGAUAUCAGGAGGAACACCGGUGGCGAAGGCGGUUCUCUGGGCAUUACCUGACGCUGAGGAGCGAAAGUGUGGGGAGCGAACAGG